GUAGGAUUACAGGUAUGCACCACUAUGCCCAGUCUUGAUAUAUUUUUAUUUACUCUGUUCUUGAGAUUCCUAGAACAAGAGUUGCUCACUUGGGAAAGGUUUUGUAAAAGGGCCCAAGACGUCAGGAAAGAAGGGAUGAAAAUUUGAAGGCAUUCUUUUUGAAACGAAGAUUGAGAUGUCUUGCUGAAGAUCCGCUGAUACAAAAGGACACUAAUGAGGGACAAUAAGGAAAGAAGAGGAAUUCUGUAGUGGACAGCAGCGGGGAUUAGCUGCCCCUGACAGAGAUUAGUUCUGGUAAAGCAUGCAUCCAGUCAACAUUAACUCCCCAAGCCUAAUUAAUGUACAUGAGGGAAGGAAAACACAGAGCGAGCAAUGGAAUACACAGAUGGCUAAUGAAAAUGGAGGGAAUAUCAACAUCAUUGGUAAUGAUAUACAGAGUAAAAUAAAUGAGAAUGUCAGUAUUCGUAUCUCAAAUUUACC